AACGCACAUUGCGCCUCCGGGUAUUCCUGGAGGCAUGCCUGUUCGAGCGUCGUUAAAGACCAUAAGGCUUUGCCUUGCGAUGAGCUUCUGGCUGGCUCUCCGGAGAAACCAGUUGCUUCAAACUUAUUGGCGUCUGAAGCCUAGCCCAAGCACAGCAAAAUGUGUUCCGAGUCUGGCGAACGAUUGCCCGUACCCAAAAACAUUAAUUGGUCGACCUCGGAUCAGGCAAGAUUACCCGCUGAACUUAA
rnacentral:misc_RNA from 1 species